AUCACGGAGGAUUUGUUAUCGGUGCUGUUUUGGAAGGGUUAUAAAACCCCUGUGGAAAUAAACAGAGGAAGGACUUUCUGCACUCAUGAACCCAUCAGCAACAAUACAGGAAAAGUACCAAUAAAAGACCAUGGAGAAAUGACCAGCAGGAUACCUGAACUUGAUGCUCUCCUGUCGUCGGGUUGUAGUCUCCAGCCUUGUGUUUCUUAUAUAGGGGCAGUGAAGAUUCUAGAGGGCGGGAUAAACAUUUGUUUGAAAUUUGAAUCUCCCGAAGAUCACGAAGAUAAGCUGUUGAUCGGAGACUUCGUCUUUGACUUUGAGAUUGAACUUGGACGCCCUCUGCCACUUUGUUCUUAUCACAAUUUGAAUGCUUUCUUCUGUUUCUUUUUUUUUCGUAGCUUAUCCCCACCCAAGCUUGGUCAACCUUUGAAUUUGAGAAACAGAUAAUUUGUAAAUAAAUAUUUGUUUAACUGCUGUCAUUAUCCUC